rnacentral:lncRNA from 1 species
AUAUAUUUCGUUCUACUGCUCACCUAACUACUUAACACUUUGUUUUCCUAAUAAUGGAACAGCACUAAAAAAAGCUGCACAGAAACUACUGCAAAUAGAUACUGUGGAGAAAAAACAAAAGGAGGCACAAGCAAGUAUGCAUGUGAGCAAACUGCUGGAGAAGAUGAAUGAUAACUUACAAAAAGAAAGACAGAUGACUACAGUAAUUCAACAUGUAUUCCAGAAUAUCAUAAUUGGAAGCAGAAUUAACUGGGCAGAAGAUCCAUCUUUAAAGGAAAUUGUUCUACAGCUUGAGAAAAAUGUCCACGUUCUGUGAGUCAGAUAAAUGGUGUUCAAUCUUGUAGCCUAUGUGCUCAAUGUAUUAACCUUGAUAGAUUAAUAUACAUCAUGAAAGCACACUUUAAGAUUUUGAAAAUUUAAGCUUUCUGAAAGUUGUUCUCUCUAGAGACUCAGAACGUGGCCAUGCAACUCUCUGAAGUGAAACUUAAUUCCUGGUACACAACAAAUGUCUGAACAGGCAGCAUAGCUCAUGAAACUUGGCUGGAGCCACUUCAUAGCUGUCCUGUCCCAAGUGCUCAUUUCCCUCUGAAAGGCAGCAGUAACGCAAGAAAGAAGAACGAUCAAUAUAUUUCAAGCUUCUACGUAAAAGCAGGCUUAAAACAAGGCUCUGCCACUUCCGUCCUCUUCACCUGGGCAUCAGCGUGCUGGAGAGCUCACACGGGACGGAGAAGCCUGCGCUGCCUUUGUGGAAAGCCCAGACUGGAAAACCUAAAGUCAGUCUGUGGGGUUUUUUUACCUGUUCUUUAGUUAAAGCAUUAUGUACAAAUUUAAACACCAAAAAGUUUAUACUUUUAGGUUUAACAGUGUUAUGUGACUGUGCUAUGUGCAGGUUAGUUAAACAGUGUCCAGCAGUAGAUGCCACCUAUAGAUCCUGUCCCACGUAGCAGACUAUGACAACCCUAGGGAAAAUGCACGUAAAAUGGAAGAGGCGACUUCAUGCUAUCAACCACGCCAUUUGAAAUAUAUUUGUUACUGACAGUUGCGGUUUUGCUUUACAAGAAAAUUAGUAAGAUCAGCGUGUAAUAUUUUUAAGCGUUGUGAAUUUCAAUCAGCUUUUUUAAGUCGAGUAAUAAUAAAACGCAGACUCAUUCGAAG